UUAAAAUUGUUGCAGUUAAAACGCUCGUAGUUGAAUUUCAAAGAACCUAUAUUUUAAUGAUGCUGUUAGCGAGAGCCACAAAAAAGCGAAUUCCAAUAUAUGUUUUCUGCUUUAUGUGCGCAUCCUCUACCUAUUAAGUGUUAAUUAAAUUAAAGGGUUUCUUUUUAAAAUCUUCUAUAACUAAUAAAAAAAUAUGGAAGAUUUUGUUACUUUGAGUAAAUUAGAGUGUUCAAAGCAAACAGAUAUAUAGCAUUUGUGCGUUUGAAUACUACAGCAUGGAAUAACAAAAUUGAACAGGUCAAAACUAUGUUUCUUUUUUUUUAUUUUUGGCUUAGUUACGAUUAAUAGGAGUAGUUUGGGGACAUUUGUAUUCAGAUGUCAGAGGUGAAAUUCUAAGAUUUUCUGGAGACAAACAACUGCGAAGGCAUUUGUCUAAAAUACUUCCAUUAAUCAAGAACGAAAGUUAAGGGAGUGAAGACGAUCAGAUACCGUCGUAAUCUUAACCAUAAACUAUACCGCCUAGGUUUUGGAUGAAAGUAAAACAAAUAAGGAUAGUCUCUUCGGGGAUAGUUCUUAGAUUUCUUCCUUCAGUACCUUAUGAGAAAUCAAAGUCUUUGGGUUCUGGGGCGAGUAUUCGCGCAAGCGAGAAAGUUAAAAGAAUUGACGGAAGGGCACCACCAGGCGUGGAGCUUGCGGCUUAAUUUGACUCAACACGGGAAAACUCACUAGUUUAAGACAAGAGUAGGAUUGACAGAUUAAUAGCUCUUUCUUGAUUUCUUGGAUGGUGAUGCAUGGCCGUUUUUAGUUCGUGAAUAUGAUUUGUCUGGUUAAUUCCGAUAACGAACGAGAUCUUAACCUGCUAAUUAGCAGUAAGUACAACAUAUUUCUAUGCUGAAUUUGUAUUUGGAUAAUUUAAAAGGUUCUUUUGCCGUGCAUAUAAUGAGUACGGAAAAAAUGCAUACUGCUACCUUGUACCUAAUAAUACUUGGCGCCUAUGCAUAUUUCCAGCCCUCUAUUCCCUGUACCGCAUAAAACUGGAUUAUGAUGCCAUUUCACUUUUAUGUAGAAAUGUAUUUGCUUUUACAUAAAGCUUCUUAGAGGAACGAUGUGUGUCUAACACAAGGAAGUUUAAGGCAACAACAGG
rnacentral:rRNA from 1 species